UGUAAGCGUAUACCAAAGUUGUUGCAGUUAAAACGCUCGUAGUCGGAAUUUGGCAGUUCCGGAUGUGUGCACGUCGUGUGCGCACUUCGCGGGGAUUGCUUUUGUGGUCUUGCGUAGGAUGAGGCACUUUUAUUAGUGAACGUCCUCACGCAACCACUUUUUACUGUGAGGAAAUCAGAGUGCUCAAAGCAGGCAUUUGCCGUGAAUGUAUUAGCAUGGAAUAAUAGAAUAGGACUUGGUUCUAUUUUGUUGGUUUGUUGGGACUGAGUAAUGAUUAAGAGGGACAGUUGGGGGCAUUUGUAUUUCGGUGCUAGAGGUGAAAUUCUUAGAUUACCGAAAGACAAACUGCUGCGAAAGCGUCUGCCAAGGAUGUUUUCAUUGA
rnacentral:rRNA from 1 species